rnacentral:rRNA from 1 species
UACGUAGGGUGCAAGCGUUAAUCGGAAUUACUGGGCGUAAAGCGUGCGCAGGCGGUUUUGUAAGUCUGUCGUGAAAUCCCCGGGCUCAACCUGGGAAUUGCGAUGGAGACUGCAAGGCUAGAAUCUGGCAGAGGGGGGUAGAAUUCCACGUGUAGCAGUGAAAUGCGUAGAGAUGUGGAGGAACACCGAUGGCGAAGGCAGCCCCCUGGGUCAAGAUUGGACGCUCAUGCACGAAAGCGUGGGGAGCAACAAGG